UCAUUAUGUUAGAAAAGACACAUGGAAAGCAUGGAGGUGUAACUGAAGAUAUUAGUGAUUUGAUGGAAAAUGUCUCUGAGUUGAUGAAGAAACAAAUAUGACAACAGAAACUAAAAAAAAAAAAAACAAAACAAAACUCUGAAUUCCUCCAGUUCUUUGACAAUUUUAUUGCAGAGGCUGGAAAGAUAGAUUGCUAAGUGAAUAAAAUGCUUGUCAUAGAGGACAUCUCUGCAGAUAUGAUUUAAUUGAAGGCAUUUCAAAGAAAAAUUAGGAGGAAUGUUGUCUACUUCUAGGCAUACAUAAGACUUUGAAAGUCUACCUAGAGGUUUUUAAUUCUUAAUGAAUUACACCGAGAAAGUAAGUUGUUUAGUGUGAAAGAUUGCAUCAUUUAAGUAUUUGUAUAUUGACAUUAUUAUAUUAUUAUAUUGUUUUUGGACAGGUUCUCACUAUGUAGCAC
rnacentral:lncRNA from 1 species